rnacentral:rRNA from 1 species
UACGAAGGGGGCUAGCGUUGCUCGGAAUCACUGGGCGUAAAGGGUGCGUAGGCGGGUCUUUUAAGUCAGGGGUGAAAUCCUGGAGCUCAACUCCAGAACUGCCUUUGAUACUGAAGAUCUUGAGUUCGGGAGAGGUGAGUGGAACUGCGAGUGUAGAGGUGAAAAUUCGUAGAUAUUCGCAAGAACACCAGUGGCGAAGGCGGCUCACUGGCCCGAUACUGACGCUGAGGCACGAAAAGCGUGGGGAGCAAACAGG